GAUGAACGCUGGCGGCGUGCCUAAUACAUGCAAGUCGAGCGAACGGACGAGAAGCUUGCUUCUCUGAUGUUAGCGGCGGACGGGUGAGUAACACGUGGAUAACCUACCUAUAAGACUGGGAUAACUUCGGGAAACCGGAGCUAAUACCGGAUAAUAUUUUGAACCGCAUGGUUCAAAAGUGAAAGACGGUCUUGCUGUCACUUAUAGAUGGAUCCGCGCUGCAUUAGCUAGUUGGUAAGGUAACGGCUUACCAAGGCAACGAUGCAUAGCCGACCUGAGAGGGUGAUCGGCCACACUGGAACUGAGACACGGUCCAGACUCCUACGGGAGGCAGCAGUAGGGAAUCUUCCGCAAUGGGCGAAAGCCUGACGGAGCAACGCCGCGUGAGUGAUGAAGGUCUUCGGAUCGUAAAACUCUGUUAUUAGGGAAGAACAUAUGUGUAAGUAACUGUGCACAUCUUGACGGUACCUAAUCAGAAAGCCACGGCUAACUACGUGCCAGCAGCCGCGGUAAUACGUAGGUGGCAAGCGUUACCCGGAAUUAUUGGGCGUAAAGCGCGCGUAGGCGGUUUUUUAAGUCUGAUGUGAAAGCCCACGGCUCAACCGUGGAGGGUCAUUGGAAACUGGAAAACUUGAGUGCAGAAGAGGAAAGUGGAAUUCCAUGUGUAGCGGUGAAAUGCGCAGAGAUAUGGAGGAACACCAGUGGCGAAGGCGACUUUCUGGUCUGUAACUGACGCUGAUGUGCGAAAGCGUGGGGAUCAAACAGGAUUAGAUACCCUGGUAGUCCACGCCGUAGACGAUGAGUGCUAAGUGUUAGGGGGUUUCCGCCCCUUAGUGCUGCAGCUAACGCAUUAAGCACUCCGCCUGGGGAGUACGACCGCAAGGUUGAAACUCAAAGGAAUUGACGGGGACCCGCACAAGCGGUGGAGCAUGUGGUUUAAUUCGAAGCAACGCGAAGAACCUUACCAAAUCUUGACAUCCUUUGACAACUCUAGAGAUAGAGCCUUCCCCUUCGGGGGACAAAGUGACAGGUGGUGCAUGGUUGUCGUCAGCUCGUGUCGUGAGAUGUUGGGUUAAGUCCCGCAACGAGCGCAACCCUUAAGCUUAGUUGCCAUCAUUAAGUUGGGCACUCUAAGUUGACUGCCGGUGACAAACCGGAGGAAGGUGGGGAUGGCGUCAAAUCAUCAUGCCCCUUAUGAUUUGGGCUACACACGUGCUACAAUGGACAAUACAAAGGGCAGCGAAACCGCGAGGUCAAGCAAAUCCCAUAAAGUUGUUCUCAGUUCGGAUUGUAGUCUGCAACUCGACUACAUGAAGCUGGAAUCGCUAGUAAUCGUAGAUCAGCAUGCUACGGUGAAUACGUUCCCGGGUCU
rnacentral:rRNA from 1 species